UGGGGAAUAUUGCGCAAUGGGGGAAACCCUGACGCAGCGACGCCGUGUGAGGGAAGAAGGCCUUCGGGUCGUAAACCUCUGUCAGAAGGGAAGAACCGCCUAGGGGCUAAUAUCCUCUGGGCCUGACGGUACCUUCAGAGGAAGCGCCGGCUAACUCCGUGCCAGCAGCCGCGGUAAUACGGAGGGCGCGAGCGUUAAUCGGAAUCACUGGGCGUAAAGCGCGCGUAGGCGGCCGAUCAAGUCAGAGGUGAAAGCCCUCGGCUCAACCGAGGAAUG
rnacentral:rRNA from 1 species